CAGUGAUCGGUGUCAGAGAACUCUGCCC
rnacentral:piRNA from 1 species